GAUUUAAGACAAAACUGGUUUUCACGAUGAUUUGACAGAAAGUUUUGAAAUUCUGAGAUCAUUGUGAAAGCUGAUUUUGUUAA
rnacentral:pre_miRNA from 1 species